rnacentral:lncRNA from 1 species
UUAAACACUUGGAAUGCAAUUGAUCUAGUAUUGCUUUGUAUCAAGUAAAUUAAACAAUUAAUCAAAGACGUGUACAAUUCUAAGUUUCGAUCUUUAAAACUACCAUUAUGGUUUUUUGAUAUGAUUUCAAACACUUGAAAUGCAAUUGAUCUAAGUAUUAAUUGUACCAAAUAAAAUUGAUAACAAUUAAUUAAAAAUGUGUACAAUUUUAAAUUUUGAUAUUUACAAAACAAUCUAUAAUAUAAACGACUAGUAAUUUCCAGUGCCUACAGGCACAACGUAAAAAUAAAAAAAUAAUAAAAAAUCAUCUCUUAGGCGUACUCGUUAGAAUUUAAUAAUUUAAGAACCAGAUAAGAUAUAAAUAUCAGAUAAAAGAUACAUUGUAUGCAUAUAUGAAGAGAUAUAUUACUUAGAAACUAUAAUAAUUUUAAAAAGUUUUGCUAGUUUGAGAGAAAUGAGAGAAAAAAAAAAAAUAUUUUAAUAUUUUUUGUGUGGCCCCAUUAAAAAAUGAUUCAAAGAGUAAAAAAUAUGCCCAAAUUUAGAGAUUUUUUGUCUUUUAGAUAAGAACCUAUAUGAGUCUCACACAUUUGAGAAUAAUGAAAUGAUAAUUUUGGGAGAAAAAAAUAAUUUCAGAUAAAUUCAACCGUUAUAUUAAGUUAAAUAGAUUUCAAUCGUAAAUAGUAAAAAAUAAAUUUAAUUCAAAAUAUAAUAUAAAUUUAUAUUAUUAAAAUAAGUACCAAAAUACAUAGAUUCAUACACUUCAAAUAUUUUGGACUGCCGCGAAGUUUCGUCCUUUAUAAGCCUUAUAACCACAUCCACACAUCUUGCCUGCCCACUUGGUGAUGGUGUUCUGACUUAUGUCGGCACGACUCAUCCCAUAUUAUUUCACAUUUUUGUAAAGUAAUAUCAGAUCAAACAGUGUACGUAAAAAAGUUAUAUUUGUUGGAAAAAUUAUAGUUUUUGAGUCACUUUAGAUUUAUAUUUAAAGUGGAUCUCAUAAUUAUUUUUUGUGGGUUAAUUAUUGAACAUAAUUUUUGAACCUUAGUGAAGAGAUUUAUGAAAAAAAUCAAGCCAAAAACAUUACAAGAAGUGAAUUAAAAUUAGCUUCAAAAAUAAUUAGCUGAAGUUGUUGAAAGAAGGAAUUGGAACAUAGUCCCACAUUGGUUGGGAAGGAGAAAGUUAAGUGGUUUAGAAGCCUUGAGUUUGAAAACCUAAGAUGUGCCCUUGGUACUUGCCAUUUUUUGGUGUAUAUUUUAUCUAUCUUAAUUUAGUUCCCAAUUAUAGGAACUAGCAUAAUACUCGGCAGUCCAAGAUUGUAUCCACAUAGAGCUGAUUUGCAAGAUUGAGUUAUUAUAAGUAAAGAAAGUGUAAAAGAUUAUUUUGUGUUGUUUUCGUAAAUGGUGUGAAUGAAAAUAUAAAAUAAAAAUAUAAAAUGGCAAGGUUUAAGCACUUAGUCAUCUCUUAAAUCUUAAUUUAAAUGUUUCAAUUUCUUUUUCUUUUAUAAACUCAACCAAUCCUCAAGGUAAAUAUGAUAUUGGUUGAAAGAUUUUUCAGUGAAAAUAUUAUUUUAUAUCUAAAGAUGUGUUUAUGAAAUCAAUACUGAUUUUCUUUUGAUAUGGUUUUAAACACUUGGAAUGCAAUUGAUCUAAGUAUUGAUUGUAUCAAGUGAAAUUUAUAACAAUUAAUCAAAGACGUGUACAAUUCUAAGUUUCGAUCUUUAAAACUACCAUUAUAGUUUUUUGAUAUGAUUUCAAACACUUGAAAUGCAAUUGAUCUAAGUAUUAAUUGUACCAAAUAAAAUUGAUAACAAUUAAUUAAAAAUGUGUACAAUUUUAAAUUUUGAUCUUUAAAACAACUAUUAUGGUUUCAUAAAUAAAUAUAUAAAUUUUUUUUGAAAGAGAGACGAAAUUAGUUCAUCAAAGUGUCGAAAGAAAACGUCAUUCUUGAACCGAGCCAAAAGAUUUAGCCUUCCAUAGGUAUGAAAGACUUAAUCUUUAGUGCAAAUUAAGCAAAUAAAUAUAAAAGAACUUCACAUGAAAUUAAAGAAAAACUGAAAAGGAAAUAGCAUUAAUAGAAACAGAAAGGCUACCCUUACCGAAUGGUUUACCAAAUAGUUUACCGCAGCUGUCAAAACGACAUGUUUUGGUAGCUAAAAACAAAAAUCAAAAUAAAAUUGAAAUCAUUUCACCAGCUUACCAGCAAAUUGUCACCGUCUCUCUUCUCUCCCCUCUCUCCUCUCCCCCUCCGCACUCUUCUCUCUCUCCUUCUAUACUUCCUCUGCUUCCCUGCCGCUCCUCGCCCUCCCGUCGUAGUGGUUUGUCCUCGAAAUCUGUUGUUGAUUCGCGUGUCUUUAGCCUCCAUCUUUGCAUUUUGAUGGUCAUUCCUCGGUCUAGGUUUCCUGACUUUUGUUUCCUUGCAGGCAAAGAUUCGUAAUUUUGGUUUCGCAGUUCGAUUUUUACAGUUGUUUUAUUUUUAAGUGCUGAUGGUGUGAAUUGUCUGA